ensembl:lncRNA
CAACUGAAUUUUUAAACACAAAACUUUCAUUUUUUUAAAUAAACAGACUUAUAUUUUGUUUUUUAUUUAAUUUUUAAAGACAGAGUUAGCCUACUUUAAUCCUGUUGCUCCAGUACUAAACAUUUUAUUUAAAUUUUAGGGCAGUGUUUAAACGGGCAGGCUGCUCUGUCACCAGCAAAGGUGGCCACUCUCUGCAGCGAAUCGCACCUGUUGUUCCCUUCGAUACUUCAUGUGUAACGUAGACUAACCCAGAGCCGUUGAAAAACAGAGUUGCGAGACUGCCAUAGGAACUUUAGAAUGCGGAAGUAACGCGUGUCGUGGAGCAGCCAAUAGUUCCAAACACUGAUAGUUCCAGCGCUGAACUUCACACAUUUUCAAUGUUUCUGAAGUACGCUCGCUGGAGGUGAAAAACAAGUCUAAACCAAGACUUAAACUUAGAUAAAGUAAUUGUCAGUAAUUUAAGUUCCAGCUGUCGAACAGAUCAUGGCAUGAAGGAAGCCUGCUGUCCAAGAGCCUACCCUCUCUCUCCAGCAUAUCCAUGGCAUUUGGAUCCAUAAAGGAGCCACUGGUCCUAGUUCGGAACAGCUCCUCAAUUUGCCGGACUAAAUCGAAGGCCUCUUGUGACGGCCGACAAAGUACACCUGGCUUGAACUCUUUCAGCUUCAGUAAAACACUGUGAUUUCCUUCAGGACUGUCAUCAUUGUGCUUAAUUGCACUUUGGCAACCCUCACAAAUCUUGGAAUAUUUAAUCACUUAAUUGAUAUUCACUUGUUGUGCAUGUACAGUACAGGUCAAAAGUUUGGAAACAUUACUAUUUUUAAUGUUUUUGAAAGAAGUCUCUUCUGCUCAUCAAGCCUGCAUUUAUUUGAUCAAAAAUACAGAAA